rnacentral:tRNA from 1 species
UCCACUAUAGCAAAUAGUUAGUGCAACAGAUUUAAAAUCUGUAGGAGGAAAGAUAUUCCUUGUGGAA